rnacentral:rRNA from 1 species
UACGUAGGGGGCAAGCGUUGUCCGGAAUCAUUGGGCGUAAAGAGCGCGUAGGCGGUCCGGUAAGUCCGCUCUGAAAGCCCGGGGCUCAACCCCGGGAGGCGGGCGGAUACUGCCGGGCUAGAGUCCGGAAGAGGCGAGUGGAACUCCUGGUGUAGCGGUGGAAUGCGCAGAUAUCAGGAAGAACACCAACGGCGAAGGCAGCUCGCUGGGACGGUACUGACGCUGAGACGCGAAAGCGUGGGGAGCGAACAGG